CAGACUCCUACGGGAGGCAGCAGUGGGGAAUAUUGCGCAAUGGACGAAAGUCUGACGCAGCAACGCCGCGUGAGGGAUGACGGCCUUCGGGUUGUAAACCUCUUUCAGCAGGGACGAAGCGAGAGUGACGGUACCUGCAGAAGAAGGACCGGCCAACUACGUGCCAGCAGCCGCGGUAAUACGUAGGGUCCGAGCGUUGUCCGGAAUUAUUGGGCGUAAAGGGCUCGUAGGCGGUUCGUCACGUCGGGAGUGAAAACUCGGAGCUCAACUCCGAGCCUGCUUCCGAUACGGGCAGACUAGAGGUAGGCAGGGGAGAGCGGAACUCCUGGUGUAGCGGUGGAAUGCGCAGAUAUCAGGAAGAACACCGGUGGCGAAGGCGGCUCUCUGGGCCUUACCUGACGCUGAGGAGCGAAAGCGUGGGUAGCGAACAGGCUUAGAUACCCUGGUAGUCCACCCCGUAAACGUUGGGAACUAGUUGUGGGGUCCAUUCCACGGAUUCCGUGACGCAGCUAACGCAUUAAGUUCCCCGCCUGGGGAGUACGGCCGCAAGACUAAAACUCAAAGGAAUUGACGGGGACCCGCACAAGCGGGCGGAGCAUGCGGAUUAAUUCGAUGCAACGCGAAGAACCUUACCUGGGUUUGACAUAUAGGGAAAUCCUCCAGAGAUGGGGGGUCCGUAAGGGUCCUAUACAGGUGGUGCAUGGCUGUCGUCAGCUCGCGUCGUGAGAUGUGGGGUUAAGUCCCGCAACGAGCGCAACCCCUCGUCCCUAUGUUGCCAGC
rnacentral:rRNA from 1 species